GUGGGGAAUCUUGCGCAAUGGGCGAAAGCCUGACGCAGCAACGCCGCGUGCGGGAUGACGGCCUUCGUGGUUGUAAACCGCUUUCAGCAGGGACGAAAAUGACGGUACCUGCAGAAGAAGCCCCGGCUAACUACGUGCCAGCAGCCGCGGUAAUACGUAGGGGGCGAGCGUUGUCCGGAAUCAUUGGGCGUAAAGAGCUCGUAGGCGGUUCAGUAAGUCGGGUGUGAAAGCUCCGAGCUCAACUCGGAGAGGCCACUCGAUACUGCUGUGACUAGAAUCCAGUAGGGGAGUGUGGAACUCCUGGUGUAGCGGUGAAAUGCGCAGAUAUCAGGAAGAACACCAGCGGCGAAGGCGGCACUCUGGGCUGGUAUUGACGCUGAGGAGCGAAAGUGUGGGUAGCAAACAGGAUUAGAAACCCGAGUAGUCC
rnacentral:rRNA from 1 species